AUACGGAGGAUGCAAGCGUUAUCCGGAUUUAUUGGGUUUAAAGGGUGCGUAGGCGGACAGUCAAGCAGGGGGUGAAAUGCCGGCGCUCAACGCCGGAGCUGCCUUCUGAACUGGCUGUCUGGAGUGGCAGUGCCGUUGGAGGAAUGAGGGGUGUAGCGGUGAAAUGCUUAGAUAUCACUCAGAACACCGAUUGCGAAGGCAUCUGACGAACUGUACACUGACGCUGAGGCACGAAAGCGUGGGGAGCAAACAGGAUUAGAUACCCUGGUAGUCCACGCUGUAAACGAUGAAUACUAGGUGUGGGGGGACUGACCCCCUCCGUGCCGCAGUUAACACAAUAAGUAUUCCGCCUGGGGAGUACGAUCGCAAGAUUGAAACUCAAAUGAAUUGGCGGGG
rnacentral:rRNA from 1 species